rnacentral:lncRNA from 1 species
AGUUUCAAAAAAUUGUGAUGGCAUUAGCAAUAUCCUCUAUAUAUAUAUAAUUUAAACUUUCAAUGUCAACCCAUAUGUCUUAAUUGUCAAGUCAUUACCAAAUCCGUUAGUAUUUCACUUACUUCAUUUCUAACAACUCAUAUUGAUUAUACAUAAUUCAUGUUCAUGAAACUUUUACAAUGUUCCAGAAGUUUCACAUAUUUUGGGCUUGAACAAGAUCACACCUCGUGCAGUUAAAGAUUUUUUUUUGCAUUUAAAACCAGUUUCAAAACUGCAAGUCACAGCGCAUGUUUGAGCUAGAGAAGCAAUGGCAGUACCAUGAUGAAGACAAAAGAUGUAAACGGAAUGUACAAACGAUUUUACGUAAAUACUGCUCCACAAGUAUUCAGUAAAUUGAAAUUGCAUCUAUGUACACAUUUUACUCUUAGGACAACCAAAAAAGACCAUGUCACUUCAGAGCUCAGAAACAGGAAAAGAGUUGGUGAAGAUAUUGUCGAUUAAGGGAAAAGAAUGAGACCUUCCAACUGCAAGAAGGGCAAUAAAUUGAAGAGGUACGUUCCACAGAAACUCCCACUCCGCUUGGUGCGUACAGGCUUGGUCCAAAGAGCUUCCAAGGGGCACAUCAUGCUUGUCACGAUGUAGAGGUGGUUUCGAUGUAUGCUCCACGGAACAUUGUGAGCUGAGCAUUUAGCCUCACACAUCUGAUGCUAAUCAACAAUACAGAGUCGGUUCUUUACUUGAAUUGUUCCGGUGCUCACCAUUUCACGACAUGAAAAAAUACUUGCACAUUUAGAGAUCAUUACUGAAGACUAAUUCGACUUGACCUAACGAGAUCUCUCACACAUGUUGAGUG